rnacentral:lncRNA from 10 species
CAGAGCAGCAAGUGCUCCGUGCAGGGCUGUUGCUAUCACUUGGAGGUGAACAGCCUCUUUUGCCGGUAUUCAGUGAAGAAAGCAAGUCUAAAUAUGCAGUUCUCUCACUGGAGUGAAAGAUGUUUUGUUCAUUUCUAAUCAACUAUGCUAGACAGCUGCAAGCUGAAAAGUGCCUGCAAUUUGCCAUUUAUUUGUAAUAAGAAAAUAAUAAACACUGCUGGAACCAGUAAUGCAGAAGUCCCCUUGGCUGAUCCCGGAAUGUACCAGCUGGACAUUACAUUAAGAAGGGGUCAAAGUUUAGCUGCUCGAGAUCGAGGAGAUUGUCCCGCUAUUACAAUUCCUCUAGAAAAUACUCUCAGAAGAAAGGCACGAUGGC